rnacentral:rRNA from 1 species
GAUGAACGCUGGCGGCGUGCCUAAUACAUGCAAGUCGAGCGAACAGACGAGGAGCUUGCUCCUCUGACGUUAGCGGCGGACGGGUGAGUAACACGUGGAUAACCUACCUAUAAGACUGGGAUAACUUCGGGAAACCGGAGCUAAUACCGGAUAAUAUAUUGAACCGCAUGGUUCAAUAGUGAAAGACGGUUUUGCUGUCACUUAUAGAUGGAUCCGCGCCGCAUUAGCUAGUUGGUAAGGUAACGGCUUACCAAGGCGACGAUGCGUAGCCGACCUGAGAGGGGGAUCGGCCACCCUGGAACUGAGACACGGUCCAGACUCCUACGGGAGGGAGCAGUAGGGAAUGUGACGCAAUGGGCGAAAGCCUGACGGAGCAACGCCGCGUGAGUGAUGAAGGUCUUCGGAUCGUAAAACUCUGUUAUUAGGGGAGAACAAAUGUGUAAGUAACUAUGCACGUCUUGACGGUACCUAAUCAGAAAGCAACGGCUAACUACGUG